rnacentral:rRNA from 1 species
AUUGAACGCUGGCGGCAGGCUUAACACAUGCAAGUCGAACGAGCGGCGGACGGGUGAGUAAUGUCUGGGAAACUGCCUGAUGGAGGGGGAAAACUACUGAAAACGGUAGCUAAUACCGCAUACCAUCAGAUGUGCCCAGAGGGGAUUAGCUAGUAGGUGGGGUAAUGGAUCACCUAGGCGACGAUCCCUAGCUGGGCUGAGAGGAUGACCAGCCACACUGGAACAUAGACACGGUCCAGACUCCUACGGGCGGCAGGAGUGUGGAAUAUUGCACAAUGUGCGCUAGCCUGAUGCAGCCAUGCCGCGUGUGUGAAGAAGGCCUUCGGGUUGUAAAUCACUUUCAGCGAGGAGGCGUUACUCGCAGAAGAAGCACCGGCUAACUCCGUGCCAGCAGCCGCGGUAAUAC